rnacentral:rRNA from 1 species
AUUGAACGCUGGCGGCAUGCCUUACACAUGCAAGUCGAACGGCAGCACGGGUGCUUGCACCUGGUGGCGAGUGGCGAACGGGUGAGUAAUACAUCGGAACAUGUCCUGUAGUGGGGGAUAGCCCGGCGAAAGCCGGAUUAAUACCGCAUACGAUCUACGGAUGAAAGCGGGGGACCUUCGGGCCUCGCGCUAUAGGGUUGGCCGAUGGCUGAUUAGCUAGUUGGUGGGGUAAAGGCCUACCAAGGCGACGAUCAGUAGCUGGUCUGAGAGGACGACCAGCCACACUGGGACUGAGACACGGCCCAGACUCCUACGGGAGGGAGCAGUGGGGAAUUUUGGACAAUGGGCGAAAGCCUGAUCCAGCAAUGCCGCGUGUGUGAAGGAGGCCUUCGGGGUGUAAAGCCCUUUUGUCCGGAAAGAAAAUCUUUGGCCUAAUACGGUCGGGGGAUGACGGUACCGGAAGAAUAAGCACCGGCUAACUACGUG